UCGCAGUUCACACAGGACCUGGGUACACCCACAGCUUGAAAAUGCCUUUGGUGGACUGGCACCUGCAAAGCCAGAGGAGGAGAGAGGGACCUUCCUGGAUCGUGCUCAGUGAAGUGCUAGCUGGGAUUUACAUUUCUCCAGCAAAGUCACCCCUGAGCCCCUGCCUGGCUGAAUCAAAACCUCUGACCCAAGCCCAGCUGUUCGU
rnacentral:lncRNA from 12 species